rnacentral:lncRNA from 2 species
UUCCUGGUGACUAGGAUGUCGUCGGAGGAGGACAAGAGCGUGGAGCAGCCGCAGCCGCCGCCACCACCCCCCGAGGAGCCUGGAGCCCCGGCCCCGAGCCCCGCAGCCGCAGACAAAAGACCUCGGGGCCGGCCUCGCAAAGAUGGCGCUUCCCCUUUCCAGAGAGCCAGAAAGAA